ACGAGUGGCGGACGGGUGAGUAAUGCUUGGGAAUCUGGCUUAUGGAGGGGGAUAACUACGGGAAACUGUAGCUAAUACCGCGUAAUAUCUUCGGAUUAAAGGGUGGGACUUUCGGGCCACCUGCCAUAAGAUGAGCCCAAGUGGGAUUAGGUAGUUGGUUAGGUAAAGGCUGACCAAGCCGACGAUCUCUAGCUGGUCUGAGAGGAUGACCAGCCACACUGGAACUGAGACACGGUCCAA
rnacentral:rRNA from 1 species